CGCACUUCAAAUCAUCUCUUUUAUUUGAAAUGAAAAAGGACAAAAGUCAAGUAAGAUAUCAACUCCGAAAUAUUGCUCUUGUACUAACUAAUGCUUCUAUCAGUAGAUAAAUAUUUUUAUUUUUUUUUUAAUAUCUUCAUGUCUUGUUCCGUAACAUGUGCAUCGGAAGGACGUUGAAGUGAUUGAUGUAAGUGUCCUUUUCGGAUAAGAACUUACUCCUCCAUAAAGAAAGCCUACUUGGCAGAUUCAAUAAGGGGUUUAGGCGAAUUCAAACCUGAAAUCUUAAAAAAAAAAAAAAAAAAAAAAAAUUAAACAAAACUUUUUAUAUCUAAAAAAUACACAAAAAAAUAUUAUUAGUCAUAAUAAUUACAAUUCAAAAAAGUACGUUAGUAAAUUUAGAACAAAGAGCACAUUCUUUAAUUAUCCAAAUAGUAAUUAAAACGAAAGAGUACGAUAAUCUAGCCAGCAUCGGUGAUAGUCUUUCACACAUAUAAUAAGUAAAACUUCCACUCUUUUUUCUUCUUCUCAAUAUUUCAAUAUCGUGGAAUAUUUUUUAAUCAAAAAUGUUUGCCGACGCAAGGCACACAAGAAUUGACAAGUAAAAGAACCAAGGGACCAUAGGAGAACAUCUGCUGGAUUCAACUCUAUAUAACAUGAGUUCAACAGGUUCACAACUCAUCAACCCAACUGCAGUUAAUACGUAUAAUUAUGGAUGUAAAAUACUUUGAAAUGGUUAAUUUAUUUAUAUAAUGAGUAUUGUUUGAUAAUAUGCAUAAAUUUUUAUUCAAAUUUGAACCGUAACUAUCUAAUAUAACCAUUUUAUAAUACGUUCAAAUGUCCAAUCAAAACAUACAGUAGUUCGAAUAUCCCCCAAAAUUCUAAGGGCUUUCCUACACAUGCAUGUUUCUGCAGCUGAAACAUCGAGGACAAUGACAUAUUCUCUCCCUAAUUAAUUCAGAGAAAAGAGAUAAGUCUGACCAGUACAACUGUGUCUUAUCCACUUGAUAAGUAGCUGUUGUGCUCAGUAUUUUCAGCUGUCUUGCAUUUAUAUAACUUUGGCUCUAUUUGAGAAGCAUCAUGGUCUAUCAAACUUUAGAUCUGGGUGUGCAACGGUCGGUUCGGUUUGAUUUUAUAUAUUAUCGAUUUGAUUUAUCAAUUUUUUAUUUUUAAAUAUGCUAAACCAAUAAUCAAACCUAUAAGAUAUUUUUUAUCGAUUUUUGAUUUAUAGCGAUUCGAUUUUCGAUUUAACCGAUAAGAAAAUACUAAUAAAAUAGAAAUAGUAGUAACUAACAUGAAAAAAAAAAUCUUAGUUGCAUUUAAAAGAAUCUUUAAGUUUGAACUAAAUGUUGUUAGGGGAAAUUAAGAGUUCUAUAAUUGAAAUAAUAAUUUUAUUAAUUUAUAAAAAUCAAAGAGAAAUAUAUCAUAAGUUAUCUCUCUCUCUCUCUCUAUAUAUAUAUAUGUAUGUAUGUAUGCAUACCAAUAAAAUAGGCGAAUAAAAAGGCGAUAAACUAGGCGAUAUUUCAAGAUUUUUGUAAAAAUCCCACUCAGUACUCCCUCUUUUUCAUUAUUUUUUCACGUUUUUAUCAUUCUUAUAUUCUAUAUUUUCCCCUAUUUUAAAUUUUUUUUUAUAUUAACCGGUUCAUCUCUUUCUCUUAACCUAUGUUCCUAACAACUUACUUCUUUAACCACACCCCGGAACUUUCAUCUGGCAACUAACACUCGUCCUUCGUCUAUUCUGCAGCCAUAGCGGACUAUCAAGGCCAGAAUUCCUAGGAAUUUACAGGUUAAUCCAUCGUUGUUAUUAAGAAAUUAAGAGGUUAGCCAUAUAUUAAGGGUAAUGAAUUUAAACAAAUAUUUAAUUUACAGGAUGUUCUGCGAAUAUAUCUAAAAAUUUCUAAAAAAUAUAAACAUCUAAAAAAAAAUAAGACAUAAAAACAUAUCUUUGAUUGGAAAAUAUAAAAUAAAUAAGAACUUACAUGAAGUAAUUGGGAUAGAGGUUUCCCUUUCGGGAAUCCCCUAAAGACUUUGGAAAACUGAAAGCUUU
rnacentral:lncRNA from 1 species